CGUAUUCUUGAUUCGUUUAGGAGUUCUUUGACUCUGAAAUUGGUGCAAGUUGUUAUUUGUCUUCAAGAUUGGCGUCGAAAUGAGCCUUAUCCCAUAAAUGUUGAAGAAGAUUUUAAUGAUCUUAUGAAACUUGAACUUGAUAUGGCUGAUAGCUCAAAAGAUUCCCUCGUUCUUGAUUUGUAAUCGCAAGAUGCCUCAGAUGGUAAAUUGGAGUGCACAACUAGAGCUUCCAGUUUCCGGACAGUGGGCAGUACAAGUGUACAACAUCUUCACAAUUUCGCUACUGCUUUGAAAAUUAUCUACACUGUUAUUCUUUUGUUGUUGGAAGCUGCUGUAUUAUGACUUAUGAGAUCUUGGACUAAGAAUUUAUAAGUAGCUACUUUCUGGGGUUGUCGUUUGUUAUUGAAAUAACUUAAGGAUUUUUAAAGAUCUAACUAGAAUGUCUUCAAUUCGGA